GACGAACGCUGGCGGCGUGCUUAACACAUGCAAGUCGAACGGGCCCGCUCUCUUUUUUGGGGGUGGGUUGAGUGGCGAACGGGUGAGUAUCACGUGAGUAACCUGCCCCCUCCUCCUGGAUAACUGCUUGAAAGGGCGGCUAAUACGGGGUGUGCCGGCUGGUCCGCAUGGGCCUGGUCGGGAUAGUUUCAUCUUCGGGUGUUUCGGUGGGGGAUGGGCUCGCGGCCUAUCAGCUUGUUGGUGGGGUGAUGGCCCACCAAGGCGGUGACGGGUAGCCGGCCUGAGAGGGUGGGCGGCCACACUGGGACUGAGACACGGCCCAGACUCCUGCGGGAGGCAGCAGUGGGGGGUAGUGCACAAUGGGCGGAAGCCUGAUGCAGCGACGUCGAGUGAGGGAUGGAGGCCUUCGGGUUGUGAACCUCUUUCUCCGGUGGUGAAGGCCCUGUCCGUUGCGGCGGGGUUGACGGUAGCCGGGGAUGAAGCGCCGGCUAACUACGUG
rnacentral:rRNA from 1 species